rnacentral:rRNA from 1 species
AGUGAACGCUGGCGGUAGGCCUAACACAUGCAAGUCGAACGGCAGCACAGUAAGAGCUUGCUCUUACGGGUGGCGAGUGGCGGACGGGUGAGGAAUACAUCGGAAUCUACUUUUUCGUGGGGGAUAACGUAGGGAAACUUACGCUAAUACCGCAUACGACCUACGGGUGGAAGCAGGGGAUCUUCGGACCUUGCGCGAUUGAAUGAGCCGAUGUCGGAUUAGCUAGUUGUCGGGGUAAAGGCCUACCAAGGCGACGAUCCGUAGCUGGUCUGAGAGGAUGAGCAGGCACACUGGAGCUGAGAGACGGGCCAGAGUCCUACGGGAGGCAGCAGUGGGGAAUAUAGGACAAUGGGCGCAAGACUGAGCCAGCCAUACCGCGUGGGUGAAGAAGGCCUUCGGGUUGUAAAGCCCUUUUGUGGGGAAAGAAAAGCAGCAGGUUAAUACCCCGCUGUUCGGACGGUACCCAAAGAAUAAGCACCGGUGAAUUUCGU